UUUAAGCCCAAGGCUGUUUUAACAAGAUGACGGAAAAUUAAUAAGAAAUGAGUUGAAGGAUGGACAGAGAAGAUCAACGUAGAUACCUUGUGGUUGGAUCUGUCAUUUUAGAAGUGGUUACUCCCUUGUUUCGAAAAAAGAUUGAAAAUGAGUAUAAAACUGGUGGUUUUGGAUCCUUUCCUGCAUUUAUCAACAGUCAACCAGUUAUUCACACUCUAUUUCACCUACGACACAGAAACUCAUGGUGCUGUAAAGACAAAUCGAAAUGUCGUAACCAUGCUGCACUGCCUUUGUUUUACUGCCAAUGGAAAAAAAUGUAUUCAGAAAAUCCCGGACCAGGAAUCCACAACUGUCACUGUAAAUUCACAGCUCAUCCUGUUCAACUAAAUGAACUAUAUAUCACCCUUUCCAGUCUUGUUUUAUUAAACUGUUGUAAUCUAUCACAACCUGAAGAGGAAGCUGUUCAACUAUUACGACAAUACAAGAAUGAUUACUUGAGUCAUAAUACAACAGGCUGUAUUACCCAAACUGAAUACAAUACAUUAUGGCAAGACCUAGUUACUUAUAACCUAAGGCCUGAUCCAACUAAACAGGAUGAUCUAGUUAGGAUAGAACACCGACCACUAGAUAAGUCAUUGUGUUAAAAAAUACUUUACAUGCCUUUUAGAUCUUCACCAACAGUUAGAAGAGAUAAUGUCGGCAAUGCAAACUGUGCAUUCUUCCAUCCAAGUUGUCAGUUCUUCCAUAGGUGAACUAAACAGUUCUGUCAAGACAGCUUUUCAGGAAAUGGAUACAACAGUUCAUAGAACGGACACAGCAGUUCAAGGAAUGGAUACAAGAAUUCAAGGAAUGUAAAAUUCCAUCCAAGGAAUAUAAACAUCAGU